GAUUGCAGGAUAGCUGGUGAUACUGCGCUCUGUAAGAACAUCCACGAAUCAGUCAGCCGACAGAUGAAGAAGAACUUUGCCAAAGCAAAAUGGCGACAAGCGUUUAACGCUACCGCAGUGAUCAGACAUAUGAGGCGUCUUCAGCUCGGCAGCAGUAUGGAUUCCUCUCAACACAGGAAGCAGAAUCUAACAUCCAUGCCAGGGAAGAGUCAGUCGGUCGAUGUUUCCUCAGUCCACCGCAACGACUCCCUUGAAGAGGGUGUUAUCUUUGUCUAGGUUCUUCCAUGCAAGCGGCAAACUCUUCCUCGGGGACGCCCGAGCGGCACACACGGCCAUCCACGGUCACUACCAUCAUCACUGGCUCCAAAUGACAUCACUUCCUGUCAGACUGCUCACUUGACUGUUGCACUUAGUGGAAAGACGUGUUUUCUUCUAUUUAACGAUAACUUCCAUUGUCCACAGUCG